AUAAUGGGUCAGCGACUUAUAUUCUGUAGCAAGGUUAACCGAAUAGGGGAGCCGAAGGGAAACCGAGUCUUAACUGGGCGUUAAGUUGCAGGGUAUAGACCCGAAACCCGGUGAUCUAGCCAUGGGCAGGUUGAAGGUUGGGUAACACUAACUGGAGGACCGAACCGACUAAUGUUGAAAAAUUAGCGGAUGACUUGUGGCUGGGGGUGAAAGGCCAAUCAAACCGGGAGAUAGCUGGUUCUCCCCGAAAGCUAUUUAGGUAGCGCCUCGUGAAUUCAUCUCCGGGGGUAGAGCACUGUUUCGGCAAGGGGGUCAUCCCGACUUACCAACCCGAUGCAAACUGCGAAUACCGGAGAAUGUUAUCACGGGAGACACACGGCGGGUGCUAACGUCCGUCGUGAAGAGGGAAACAACCCAGACCGCCAGCUAAGGUCCCAAAGUCAUGGUUAAGUGGGAAACGAUGUGGGAAGGCCCAGACAGCCAGGAUGUUGGCUUAGAAGCAGCCAUCAUUUAAAGAAAGCGUAAUAGCUCACUGGUCGAGUCGGCCUGCGCGGAAGAUGUAACGGGGCUAAACCAUGCACCGAAGCUGCGGCAGCGACACUGUGUGUUGUUGGGUAGGGGAGCGUUCUGUAAGCCUGUGAAGGUGUGCUGUGAGGCAUGCUGGAGGUAUCAGAAGUGCGAAUGCUGACAUAAGUAACGAUAAAGCGGGUGAAAAGCCCGCUCGCCGGAAGACCAAGGGUUCCUGUCCAACGUUAAUCGGGGCAGGGUGAGUCGACCCCUAAGGCGAGGCCGAAAGGCGUAGUCGAUGGGAAACAGGUUAAUAUUCCUGUACUUGGUGUUACUGCGAAGGGGGGACGGAGAAGGCUAUGUUGGCCGGGCGACGGUUGUCCCGGUUUAAGCGUGUAGGCUGGUUUUCCAGGCAAAUCCGGAAAAUCAAGGCUGAGGCGUGAUGACGAGGCACUACGGUGCUGAAGCAACAAAUGCCCUGCUUCCAGGAAAAGCCUCUAAGCAUCAGGUAACAUCAAAUCGUACCCCAAACCGACACAGGUGGUCAGGUAGAGAAUACCAAGGCG
rnacentral:rRNA from 1 species